GUACGGGAGGCAGCAGUAGGGAAUAUUGGGCAAUGGGCGCAAGCCUGACCCAGCCAUGCCGCGUGCAGGAAGACGGCCCUCUGGGUUGUAAACUGCUUUUGACGGGGAAGAAACGACUCUUGCGAGAGGCAUUGACGGUACCCGCAGAAUAAGCACCGGCUAACUCCGUGCCAGCAGCCGCGGUAAUACGGAGGGUGCAAGCGUUGUCCGGAUUUAUUGGGUUUAAAGGGUGCGUAGGCGGUCUGGUAAGUCGGCGAUGAAAGCCCGGGGCUCAACCCCGGAACUGUCGUCGAUACUGUCGGACUUGAGUACGGUUGAGGCUGGCGGAAUGGGCGGUGUAGCGGUGAAAUGCAUAGAUACCGUCCAGAACCCCGAUUGCGAAGGCAGCUGGCUAAGCCGUAACUGACGCUGAGGCACGAAAGCGUGGGGAGCGAACAGGAUUAGAUACCCCGGUAGU
rnacentral:rRNA from 1 species